UGGGGAAUAUUGCACAAUGGGCGCAAGCCUGAUGCAGCCAUGCCGCGUGUAUGAAGAAGGCCUUCGGUUUGUAAAGCACUUUCAGCGGGGAGGAAGGCGGUGAGGUUAAUAACCUCACCGAUUGACGUUACCCGCAGAAGAAGCACCGGCUAACUCCGUGCCAGCAGCCGCGGUAAUACGGAGGGUGCAAGCGUUAAUCGGAAUUACUGGGCGUAAAGCGCACGCAGGCGGUUUGUUAAGUCAGAUGUGAAAUCCUCGGGCUCAACCUGGGAACUGCAUCUGAGACUGGCAAGCUUGAGUCUCGUAGAGGGGGGUAGAAUUCCAGGUGUAGCGGUGAAAUGCGUAGAGAUCUGGAGGAAUACCGGUGGCGACGGCGGCCCCCUGGACGGAAACUGACGCUCAGGUGCGAAAGCGUGGGGAGCAAACAGG
rnacentral:rRNA from 1 species